rnacentral:rRNA from 1 species
GACGAACCGUGCGAACGUUGUUCGGAAUCACUGGGCUUAAAGGGCGCGUAGGCGGGCUAUCAAGUCCGGGGUGAAAUCCUCCAGCUCAACUGGAGAACGGCCUCGGAUACUGAUGGUCUCGAGGGAGAUAGGGGCACGCGGAACUGUGGGUGGAGCGGUGAAAUGCGUUGAUAUCCAUAGGAACUCCGGUGGCGAAGGCGGCGUGCUGGAUCUCAUCUGACGCUGAGGCGCGAAAGCCAGGGGAGCAAACGGG